AGUGCUCCGUACAUCGCCUACGGCCGCCUUGCAGCACUCCUCUAUCUCGCCCCCGGGCAUGCUCCUCCUUGAUUUGCUAUCACCAAGUUGCGAGUAUGAAUCCCUGGCUCGAGCCUCGCCUGAUUUCCCGGAUGGCUCUUCACAUCCCGAAGUCAAUAGGGCGCCAGGGGUGCUGCUCCUAGAUCUGUUGUGAUUCCUCUAGCCGUGACCAAGAUCAGUUUGACAGCGAGCUUCCCCUGUUUCCCAAUGUUAGUUCUUCCUCUGAUAUGCUGUUCAAUGUGUUCUGGCGUGUGUGCCGUCGGCCAAGAUGUUUCGCGCCUCAGCUGUCCAAGGAUGGGCUGUUCUGUCGCUUAGUCUGGAUCCAAACAACUAGCUGGACUGGACACUAGAUGACAGACAUAGUUUAGUCUUGGCACUAAAUUAGGAUGCUAAAUUAUAUAUAAGUUUUAUUUGAUAGAUAUUUUCUAUGACAAUUAUGAUUUUUAUGAAUCAAUAUGUAUAUUAUACACAUGGUUUUGAAUUUUGUAAUUGAAUGCAUGGGUUUUUUA